GACUCGGCUGGACGGUCUACCUAACGGUUUGUACUGUCUGGCUGGGCCUUACCUCUUGGUGAGCCGGUGUGCCCUUCACUGUGGUGCAUCGGGGAACCAGGACUUUUACCUUGAGAAAAUUAGAGUGUUCAAAGCAGGCCUAUGCCUGAAUACAUUAGCAUGGAAUAAUAAAAUAGGACGUGCGGUUCUAUUUUGUUGGUUUCUAGAGUCGCCGUA
rnacentral:rRNA from 1 species